AGAGCGAACGCUGGCGGCAGGCCUAAUACAUGCAAGUCGAACGGAUCCUUCGGGAUUAGUGGCGGACGGGUGAGUAACACGUGGGAACGUACCCUUUGGUUCGGAACAACUCAGGGAAACUUGAGCUAAUACCGAAUGUGCCCUUCGGGGAAAAGAUUUAUCGCCAUUGGAGCGGCCCGCGUCUGAUUAGCUAGUUGGUAGGGUAAAGGCCUACCAAGGCUACGAUCAGUAGCUGGUCUGAGAGGAUGAUCAGCCACACUGGGACUGAGACACGGCCCAGACUCCUACGGGAGGCAGCAGUAGGGAAUCUUGCGCAAUGGGCGAAAGCCUGACGCAGCCAUGCCGCGUGAAUGAUGAAGGUCUUAGGAUUGUAAAAUUCUUUACAGUGGGGACGAUAAUGACGGUACCCGCAGAAGAAGCCCCGGCUAACUUCGCGCCAGCAGCCGC
rnacentral:rRNA from 1 species